rnacentral:rRNA from 1 species
AGCAGCCGCGGUAAUUCCAGCUCCAAUAGCGUAUAUUAAAGUUGUUGCAGUUAAAAAGCUCGUAGUCGAAUUUCGGGGUUAGUAGGUUGGUCAUGCCUCUGGUAUGUACUGGUCUCACUGAUUCCUCCUUCCUGAUGAGCCGUAAUGCCAUUAAUUUGGUGUUGCGGGGAAUUUGGACUGUUACUUUGAAAAAAUUGAGUGUUUAAAGCAGGCUCACGCUUGAAUACAUUAGCAUGGAAUAAUGAAAUAGGACGUUUGAUUCUAUUUUGUUGGUUUCUAGGAUCGACGUAAUGAUUAAUAGGGAUAGUUGGGGGCAUUAGUAUUCAAUUGUCAGAGGUGAAAUUCUUGGAUUUAUUGAAGACUAACUACUGCGAAAGCAUUUGCCAAGGAUGUUUUCAUUAAUCAAGAACGAAGUUAGGGAUCGAAGACGAUCAGAUACCGUCGUAGUCUUAACCAUAAACUAUGCCGACUAGGGAUCGGAUGAUGUUUAAUUUUUAAUGUACUNUAUUCGGCGUAACCG